AUAUUUAUUGAGCACCUCCUAUGUGUCAGGCACUAUUAUUGGGGCUUGGGAUACAUUCACGAGCAAAGCAGGGAUCCCUGCCCUUGGUGGAUCUUACAUGCCAGGGCUCCCCAGAGGGCCACGCAAGCAAAGAUGGGCUCACGCUGUGGCAGGAGGCUGGAUGUUCAGAAACUCAGGGAGGCUGUGGGCCCUGACAGGUCUCUGAGGUUGGCUCUGGGAUCUCCUCACACUAGGCGAAGGCGAGUGAAAGAAGGUGACCGAGCCAGGAGGAAAGAGCACAGAUGGCUUGGUGGUGGUAUGGUGUGGACCUCCUACCCGUUCCCUCUUAGGCAUGGGAGUGGAGUGACAGAUGGAGAAAGGCAUGAGGACACAAAGGAGGGAGUGCGCCAUUGCCAAGACCCCAAGGAAGAAGGAUGGAGAGUGCUGGCAGUCCUGCCUGGCCUCCAGCCAGUUUCCUGCUGAAGAUGGCCAAGUCCUCUUGCCUGUUCUGAUUUCAGCAUCUCUGGAAGUGGAUGGCAGCUUCAGAAGAGUGAGGGUGGUUUCCACAGCAGAGGAGAAAGCAGGGAGGCACUCAGCCAAAGGAGACUGAAACAAAGGAAGGCCACAGGAGGAGACUGGAGAUGGGAAGAAUCAAGAAGGAAAAAGAAGGGCAUGUCAUUAGAGGGAGAUGCUCUCUCAAGU